rnacentral:rRNA from 1 species
UACGUAGGGGGCAAGCGUUGUCCGGAUUUAUUGGGCGUAAAGAGCGUGUAGGCGGCCAGGUAGGUCUGCUGUGAAAACUCGAGGCUCAACCUCGAGACGUCGGCGGAAACCAUCUGGCUAGAGUCCGGAAGGAGGAGAGUGUAAUUCCGUGGUGUAGCGGUGAAAUGCGCAGAUAUCAGGAAGAACACCCGUGGCGAAGGCGGCUCUCUGGGACGGUACUGACGCUGAGACGCGAAAGCGUGGGGAGCGAACAGG